AUUGAACGCUGGCGGCAGGCCUAACACAUGCAAGUCGAGCGAAGCGGCGGACGGGUGAGUAAUACCUAGGAAUCUGCCUGGUAGUGGGGAAUGACGUCCAGAAACGGGCGCUAAUACCGCAUAAUAUCAGAAGAGCCUAGGUCGGAUUGGCUAGUUGGUGGGGUAAUGGCCAACAAAGGCGACGAUACGUACCUGGUCUGAGAGGGUGAUCAGUCACUAUGGAACUAAGACACGGUCCCGACUCUUAUGGGAGGCAGCAGUGGGGAAUAUUGGACAAUGGGCGAAGGCCUGAUCCAGCCAUGCCGCGUGUGUGAAGAAGGUCUUCGGAUUGGAAAGCACUUUAAGUUGGGAGGCGUUACCAACAGAAUAAGCACCGGCUAACUUCGUGCCAGCAGCCGCGGUAAUAC
rnacentral:rRNA from 1 species